GACGAACGCUGGCGGCGUGCUUAACACAUGCAAGUCGAACGAAGAGCGAUGGAAGCUUGCUUCUAUCAAUCUUAGUGGCGAACGGGUGAGUAACGCGUAAUCAACCUGCCCUUCAGAGGGGGACAACAGUUGGAAACGACUGCUAAUACCGCAUACGAUCUGACCUCGGCAUCGAGGAUAGAUGAAAGGUGGCCUCUACAUGUAAGCUAUCACUGAAGGAGGGGAUUGCGUCUGAUUAGCUAGUUGGAGGGGUAACGGCCCACCAAGGCGAUGAUCAGUAGCCGGUCUGAGAGGAUGAACGGCCACAUUGGGACUGAGACACGGCCCAGACUCCUACGGGAGGAAGCAGUGGGGAAUCUUCCGCAAUGGACGAAAGUCUGACGGAGCAACGCCGCGUGAGUGAUGACGGCCUUCGGGUUGUAAAGCUCUGUUAAUCGGGACGAAAGGCCUUUUUGCGAAUAGUGAGAAGGAUUGACGGUACCGGAAUAGAAAGCCACGGCUAACUACGUG
rnacentral:rRNA from 1 species